UGGGGAAUUUUGGACAAUGGGCGCAAGCCUGAUCCAGCCAUGCCGCGUGCGGGAAGAAGGCCUUCGGGUUGUAAACCGCUUUUGUCAGGGAAGAAAUCUUCUGAGUUAAUACCUCGGGAGGAUGACGGUACCUGAAGAAUAAGCACCGGCUAACUACGUGCCAGCAGCCGCGGUAAUACGUAGGGUGCAAGCGUUAAUCGGAAUUACUGGGCGUAAAGCGUGCGCAGGCGGUUUUGUAAGACAGAGGUGAAAUCCCCGGGCUCAACCUGGGAACUGCCUUUGUGACUGCAAGGCUUGAGUGCGGCAGAGGGGGAUGGAAUUCCGCGUGUAGCAGUGAAAUGCGUAGAUAUGCGGAGGAACACCGAUGGCGAAGGCAAAUCCCCUGGGCCUGCACUGACGCUCAUGCACGAAAAGCGUGGGGAGCAAAACAGGAUUAGAUACCCUGGUAGUCCACGCCCUAAAACGAUGUCAACUGGUUGUUGGGAAGGUUCCUUCUCAGUAACGUAGCUAAACGCGUGAAGUUGACCGCCUGGGGAGU
rnacentral:rRNA from 1 species